rnacentral:lncRNA from 1 species
GCCGCCGCCGCUAGGCUCUGGAAAAGAAGGGUGUCUUGUGUUGUCUGUUGCUCUCCAGAAGGCGAUGAGUGGUCCCAGCUUUCUAACCUCCAAGCUCCCAAACUGCAUUCGUUUGCGGUUAUCCCUGUUCUCCAUUGCCAGUGAGAUGAGACGCUAAAACCAUCAUUACAAUGCUUUUCCUCUCAUCGUCUCUGGCUGAUAAUGAAGGUUGAUGCUUUUUAGAUGGAAACAUACAACCAGCCCUUCGCUUCAGGGCGACUUUCCCUUUUGAAGAAUCUAUUCGUUUACAGGGCAAUAUUUUCCUGGUGCCUGGUGAGGAGUUGGGGCAUUUGUAGGUGAGGAACACUCCUCCGUGAAUAUAAUUUUAGUUGCUAUUGCCGUGAGUGGUGGCUCACACUUGUACUGGCCCCAUUUGAGAGGCUGAGGCAGGAGGAUUGUUCCCAGUUCUAGAUCAGCCUGGGACACUGUAAAUGUCGUCCUUAAAAAUAGGUAAUAAAUAGUCAUUAAUAUCUGUC